GGGGCUUUAGCUCAGCUGGGAGAGCGCUUGAAUGGCAUUCAAGAGGUCAGCGGUUCGAUCCCGCUAAGCUCCA
rnacentral:tRNA from 2 species